UUUUGUCUGAAACACUCUUAGAUUGGGAUGUGUCACAUUAUCAUAAUUAUUAUUAAUUUUUUUAUUAUUAUUUUUUUUUUGUGUUGAGAAAAUAGUAUACAAACAUAAUUUCUAUACAAAAAAAGUCCAUAUACAUAAUGAGGAAAUAUAAAAAAAAAAAAUGGGAAAUAUAAAAAAUAAUUGCAAAUUCAUGAAUUCAGUGCACAAAUCACUUCAUGAGUUUGCAAUUAUUUUUCCAACUUCCCACUUUUUGACAAUCCCGGUAAUAGUACUUUUGAAAUUAUGAGCAGAAUGGUGGGUCGUUUUGAUUUAAAAUGAAAGCACCACAAAAGGCCAUAUCUUUUUUUGUGUUAAAAUUUUACACAAAAAUUAUGCUUGUAUGACAUUAUUCUAAUUUUUCAUUUUGAUCAAUAGUAGUAGCGAAUCCCCGCGAAUCCCCUAACUCCAUUCAAUUCGAGAUGAUUUGCUCCGUUGAGCUAUGAUAUGAUGAUUUUGGCGUCACUUAAUCUUCUCUACAAACAUGAUCUGAGAUCAAAAUUUAUGUAUGAUUUUUGUGGUCCCCUCUCCCUUGGAAUUGGAAGCAAUCAAAUUUCCAAGAAGAGUAGCUGUUCCCCUAAUGCUGAAGUUGCCCUACUUAUAUGAACAAAUACUUAUAUGAACAAAGGGAUAUGAAUGACAUAUAAGCAAAUAAUGCUCUUGGAGUCGUGCUUGGUGCGAACAAUACAGACAUGGAUAAUGAUGUACAAAAUUGACCUUAAAACUAUUUUAUUGUGAAAUAUCUUUAUAGGUUAUCUGUAAAUAGUGAAGACUAUGCUUUGAAACAUUUGAUGCGUCAAUUUAAUGAAGAAUAUAAAACUCUACUAUGGGAUUUUUUU